AUUGAACGCUGGCGGAAUGCUUUACACAUGCAAGUCGAACGGCAGCACGGGGGCAGCCCUGGUGGCGAGUGGCGAACGGGUGAGUAAUACAUCGGAACGUGCCCGGUCGUGGGGGAUAACGUAGCGAAAGGUACGCUAAUACCGCAUACGAUCUGAGGAUGAAAGCGGGGGACCUUCGGGCCUCGCGCGAUCGGAGCGGCCGAUGUCAGAUUAGGUAGUUGGUGGGGUAAAGGCCUACCAAGCCGACGAUCUGUAGCUGGUCUGAGAGGACGACCAGCCACACUGGAACUGAGACACGGCCCAGACUCCUACGGGAGGCAGCAGUGGGGAAUUUUGGACAAUGGGCGCAAGCCUGAUCCAGCCAUUCCGCGUGCAGGACGAAGGCCUUCGGGUUGUAAACUGCUUUUGUACGGAACGAAAAGGCUCUGGCUAAUACCUGGGGCUCAUGACGGUACCGUAAGAAUAAGCACCGGCUAACUACGUG
rnacentral:rRNA from 1 species